ensembl:lncRNA
UUUUAGGGUGGGUUGUUAUAUCCCCGCCUGGGAGUAACCAGCUAUAAAGACGUAGCUCCGCGCGGGUGGUGCUCUCAGAAUCCCUCGUUUAGAGCUUCGUUCCCGCUGAAGAGGCGGAAAAUAAAAAUGUGAAAACCGGCGCCCAUUUCCUGUCAGUCACGCCGGCCUGCGUCCUGCAGCCGCCACUUCCAGGGAUCAGCGGCUAAACCAACAGCCAUAUUCUUGGCAGCGAGCCAGCCCCCCCUCGCCCGCCCCCCCCCCCCCCGAAAGAGAGAGAGGCUCCCAUUGUGAGGCCCGAUCGUCCCAUUUAACGGCCGCUGCCACAAAGACGUGACACGUUUUCUCCGUAAUUACAAGUAAGAUAAUAAGAAUGGGAACGCGUUCUUUCACAGACUGUUUCUCGUUUCUGAAUAAAUGAUGAGCGUGUUGUGAAAAAGGAAUAUGAGACUCUGUUUGUUUUUUGUCCAGUUUUUGUUCAAGCGACUCACAUUGGACAUUAUGUAAACUUUGACUUCAUGGAGGACGUCCGUGUUCUGUUUAGUCUGCUCCCGCCGGAGGUGUGUGUGUGUGUGUGUGUGCUCGUCCUGCCCUCCAUCUGAGGACCAUUGCUCAUCUGAGACCUUCAGAGUGAGGACAUUUAGGCUGGUCUCAUUCUGCUUUCUGUAGGCGAACCAGUGGGAGACAAUGCAGAGUCCAAUCCAGUGGACGUGGAAGGAAGGACAGCACAGAGAAUCCAACGGUCCAGGCAGCUUCUGAACCGACCACUGAAGUGCUUUUCUCGUCUUGUUCUCCGGGAGGACUGAAGUUCGUCGUGAAAAGAGGGAAAACCGCACAAAAAAACGCCGCUUUUCCUUUGGGGACAAGGACAAGAUGGUUCUCCAAAGACAAUACGACAAAGAGUGUGUAUUUAUGUCUGAAAACUGACAGAAGAAAGAUGCAUAAAAACAACCCCGUCCACACACACACACACACACACACACACACACACACACCCCUGUUGUGUCACGCCGGUUGUCAUGGUCACACUUCUGACUUCAUGGAAGCUCAGUUUAAGCUUUAAAAGUUUAUCUGUGCUCACGAGCGCAUGACGAACAAAACACGACGUCAUCGAUGAGCUCCAACUCACAGCUGCUGGACGCUCAUGCAGUUGACUCUGGCGCCCCCUGUGGACGGAAGUGGUAGUGUCCCUACCAGCACGGUCCCUUCAGAACCCCUCGUUCUACCGCAGGGUUCCACAGUCAGCUCCUCUCAGUCCCGGGUCUGGUUCUCCCGGGCCUCCCUUCACUCCAUCACCACGUCCUGGUCCUCCAGAGAGGAGAAGCGUCUGGGUCUGUCCCCGGUGCGCCGUCUCUGCUUAAGGAUCUUCUACGGGGUCUACGGAGGAUCAGGACUAAACUGACUCUGAUUCAGAACCAACUCCUCACGGUAACUUUAAAUAAAUGAACUAAUUCGUCAAUGAAUCCAAGCGGCUGCGGUCUCAAUCGUCUCCGCUGGUCCAGGAUCAAAGACGAGGAGAAGUGGUCUCAUCAGGCAGUUGACUAAAGGCUCCUCCAGAGGGACCGACGCACUCGAGACCGUCCUUAAGACACUCUCACAGCGUCUCCUCAAAGAGACAACAGCUCAAGAGCCAAUUACCGCCGGCAGCCGUCCUCCGGAUCGACGAGCUGCAGCGAGACAGAAACCACCAAGAGGUCCUGUGAUGUGAGAGCUCUCAUUACACUCCAGCAGACCAUUGUCCUCUUGUUAAGGACCAAAUCAACCUCAUUCCAAAUGUUUGAGUUCUCCGUCCCGUCGUCUCCUCUCUGCUCCUCCCGCUCUCCUUAAAAGACAAACACUGCCCUCUGUCUCCGCCGCCUGGAAGCACAGGAAGGACAUCACCGGUGUGUGUCCUCAGAGACAACCACACAAAGACACAGAGCGUGUGUCCUCAGAGACAACCACACAACGACACAGAGUGUGUGUCCUCAGAGACAACCACACAACGACACAGAGUGUGUGUCCUCAGAGACAACCACACAACGACAAAGUGUGUGUCCUCAGAGACAACCACACAACGACAUAAAUGUGUGUCCUCAGAGACAACCACACAACGACACAGAGUGUGUGUCCUCAGAGACAACCACACAACGACACAGAUUGUGUCCUCAGAGACAACAACACGGUUGUGUAUUUUGUUCUUUGUUGUUGUUGACAGACUGAAGCAGGAGGACGGGGACGAGGUCUUUUUGUUUCCUUCAGGUAUUUCCUCCGUCCUGAAGAAAGCUUCGUACCUGAAGCAGACGCAGCCUGAGUGCGUUGACCUUUGACCUUUAACCUCUGAAGUGACCUCACACCGUCUCCCCGAUGUCGUACGUUUUUUUACUGAAGGCUUAAAGCCACACUGGCUCCCCGUGAGGUGCUGGUUGCCCCGGUGGUGGUGACGUAGCCGUGGCGGUGGUGGUGACGUAGCCGUGGCGGUGGUGGUGACGUAGCCGUGGUGGUGACGUAGUAAUGCUAACAGGGAUGAGAGUAUUAAAACUCGGAUGUCACGGUGCGUCGGUGCUUUUGUUGAUUUUUGUUGUUGAUUCUGUUUCCUGUUUGAUUCCCGGAGCUCCUCCUCCAGAGAUCGUGAACGUCUCCAGGGAAGUUACUUGGAAUUACUGAGCAUUGCAGUGAAAGGUGUGCUCACCUUUACUGGCGCGGUGAGACGCCGUGGGAGAGGAAAGCGGGCCGGCUCCUUAGUGCGAGCAGCCUGGUUCUCGCACACCGCUGCCGGGCGUCUUUGUCUCCAGCGUGCGACAAGCUGGACAACCUCCAGCUGCUGGUGAGGACAGACAGACACUUUCCUGCACUCUCCAUUUUGUCCCUCGCAGAGACGUGGUUCUGUGGAUCGAUACCGAACUGCUGCUCAGAGCGGACAUGGAGCAAGGCGAAGGGUGGAGGAAUCUGCUUCAACUCCAACAGCAGCUGGUGCAGCGACGUUUCUCCUGAUCGGUUGAUGAUCAUUAACUGUUAUUUUAAUAUUUAUGGAUGAAGCUCACUGAUUUAAGAUGAUCCGAGUUGAAACGCUGACUCUCGUCCUUGUCUGAGGACCCUAAUGGUUCCGUAGGAGAGGAAGAAGGGAUUCACGUGUGUUACCGUAAACCAGUCAGAGCUCCGUGUGGGGGGGUCAGCUUGGUAACAUAUCUCCUGCGAGUGAAGGAGAUAACCGAGGCUAAUAGAAACAUGCCGGGGUGAUUUAUUGGGGGGCUCAGUACGGCAGACAGUCUGUUGACUCACUCUAUAAAUAAACAUAGAUCCAUACACAUAUAGAGAGUGUAGAGGGUGAUAUAUACGACUAUAUAUACACACACAUAUGUAGUGAUAUAUAAACUGGGAUGAUCUAUUCAUCCUGCCAUAACUUUACGUUUAAUAUGCUGUGAAGAACUAUUAUAUGGAUUGUACUCAUUUGUAUUUUAAUAUUAUAAAAUAAAAAUAAAUACAUGGUAAAGUGAAUGUAAUUAUCUAAAUGAUUGCAUACAUAAACUACAACCGAUGAACAGCAUUGUGUUAGCGACCGAAUACACUCUAAGGGACCAGAAAUGUCACUUUGAAUAAAUAACAGGAAAAAAAAGUGUGUGUAUAUAUUAUAUAUGUGUAUUAUAUAUAUAUGGUUACUGUCAAAAGCUUUUAUAUAUAUAGGGCUACACAUACAUAGACAAACAUUGUUCUCUCUCUCGUAAGCUAACCCUUCGUUUAGCCUCUGUGGGUGAGGGGUCAAAGGUCAGGAGGACCGGUCUGUUGGUACGACCUCCAUUAAACACUGUCUCUUACACCGCCGUGAAUCACUCGCCCCCCCCCCCCCCCGAACUAUCAGCAGUUCAGAUGCAUUUAAAGUAGCAUUAGCCACGUUAGCCACGUUAGCGUUACAGCCGCACAGCUCUCUGAUGUGUGUGUGUCCUGCAUUUCAAACAUGCAGCGUUUUCAUUGCUGGUGGUGUCAGCGGAGGUGUGUGUGUAAGUGUGAGUGUGUGUGUGUGUGUGUGUGUGUGAGUGUGUGUGUGUGUGUGUGUGUGUGGGGGGAGCAGGCGGUCUGUUGUCUGCUGAAGUCAUUAGGUGUUGUGACGGACAGCCUCUGAGAUGUUUUACUGUUCCACGCCCCCCCCCCCCCACUCCCCGCCCCCCCCCCCCAUGCACAAUCCCAGAGAGCCUCCUCGUUGCGUGAGCGACAUGAAACACCAGUGCAGGUACAACACACCAGGAAUGACGACACGUGGCACACGCACACCUCGUACACGGCGGUAAAGUCCCCCCGUCUAUACAGCAGAACUUAACCCCCCCAGACCUUCGUUCGGUGGACGUGGAGAUGCCUCUACCGGGUCGGUAUAACUGUGCGUGUACAGGUGUGAGCGCUGCUAGUGAGCGUCCCGCAUUUCAACACGUACCUGGAGGAGGAAGCCGGCGUGAAACCUCACGAGCACUAGAUGGUCUAACGGUGUGAUCACCAGACACCACGAGGAGGACCAGAGGUCACCGUGGUCCUCUCUGAGUUCUGCACAACUCCAUCCUCUGCUGGAGGAUCGAAUCACACAGAGAAGUUUUAUUUAACCCGCCUGGAGAGGUGCUUUCAAAGCGCCGCCCCUGGAGGCAGCGCGUAUGUUUCUGAUGACGCGUUGGGGUAAAAGUCUCUGUGGGGGGGUCACAGAGGUCAACAGGCAACAAGGGGUGUGCUCAUCGCCCGUCACCUCGGCGCUGACGCUAAACACUUUCACAGAGGUGGACGCUGACCUCUGAUCCUUCGGUCACGGGGAGGAGGAGGGGGGGGGAGACGCAAACACACACACACGUAGAAAAGUCUUGAUUAGACGUUUACAGGAGACGGUGGAUCUGAAACGCUGCACGGCGUCGCAGAACGUGUCCCUCUCCGUUUGAAAAAGAAGAGAGAUUUUUGGGAGAGGUGUCCCGGCGGGGGCUCUGGCAUCCACGAUGCUAAACAGACUCCAGAUGUUGGAGGGGGCCAGAUGACAAGAGGCCUGACAGAGAGAGAACCAGGGGCCGUGGCCCCCGUGAACCUCUCUGCCCCCCCCGCGCCCCCGCCAGGUCUCAUCCGUCUCCUUCAUUCAACGUGAAGUCCUUCCUCUCCUUCCUCCUCCUCUUCCUCCUGCGACGCUGCGCUACGUUUCCUCCUCUCGGCUAAAUUUAUCGUUUCCGUGGCCCAGUCGGUCCGAAUCUGCUGCUCUGGUUCUGCCUUUCAUCCCAUUCUCCCGGGCCCCCCCCCCCCUCACAGGGACGUCUCUGUCUGAGGGACACUGAGGGACAUAUUUACCGGAAACAUGAAUGCAAAUGACCGCGGGGCUCAAAGGGCCGGCUUGUUUCCGCGACGGAGCGGGACGAGGAGGAAUCUGCAGCUUUGCAUCAAUCGAAUGCUAAUAAACAUCCGCACGAGCUUGUGAAUGUGUGGAGUGCUGCUUCUUCGGGGACACGUACAUUUGGAAAAGGAUUCAUCUUGGGGCUUGAAUAUGUAGAGGCACACACACACUCACACACACACUCACACAGACACACACACACACACACACACACACACACACAGACUCACACAGCUGCAGCAGGUCUGUGCUGCCAUCUACAGAAACACGCAGCCGCUUCCUGCAGCAUCACGAGGGAUGUUUAUCCGUCUUUCUGCAUAUGUGUUUAUUUUACGGAUAUUCCAGUUAAUAAAUGUAGGAC